rnacentral:lncRNA from 1 species
UCUGACUAAUAGCUGAGGAAUCCCUAGUUAUGGCGGCAGAAUGUAUCAUAACGAUGUUUACUUUAGGGCUUGGCAGUGACCUCGUUUAUUAUCUCAGGCUUUAGAAGAAAUGAAGAAUGGGCAACUCUUUGCAUUUGGGUAGGGAGCUGGCUUUGAGGUGGAGGGGCCACCCAUCCCUGUGUAUCUCUCCUCAUUGAAGGUUCUUGGGGCCGGCUGACAAAAUGGAGAUCAACACUUCACUGGUGUGUCUUGAAUACUUCUGUAAACUGCUUUGAUCUUGAAAAUGUGCAGAUUAUUGGUGAAUUUUUUCAAGUUGUGCUUUCUCCAUUGCUGGCAAAGAAAACAGAGUGGUAGCUUUUCCAGGACCGAUUUCUUUUAUGUCCUGUUAGGCUAAAGAAUGAACUGAAAUGAAGGAUAAAUUAUUCUUUCAAGUGUAAGAAAACAUGUAAGAAGCAGAGUACACGAGUGGAAAGUGAGUUAGGCCAAAAAAAAAAAGAAAAAGAAAAACAAACCCUUCACACAUCACCUAAAACAUCCCUGCAAAUGUAGAGAGAUGGAGAAAUCAUACUUUCCAGAACCACUUUGAUAAAGCCCUUGUGGUGUGAGGCCAGCCAUCCUCAGCAUCCAGUUAAGGGCAAGGCUUUCUAUCAGCCUUCCAGGCUGCAGCUAACCAGCUCAGGGCUAUAAAGGCCAGGCCACCAGUGGCCACCAGGGGGCUUCCAUCCCUCCUCUUCAGCCCUGUUAGAGUUCAGCCACCCCUUUAAGUCAAACUUUGAGCAAAUAUUUAAUGAGUGUGGAUUAUUGGUGAUUUUCCAAGUUGUGCUUUCUCCAUUACCGGCAAAGAAAACAGAGUGGUAACUGUCUAGGACUCGGUUUCCAGGACCCAAUUUGAAGAGGCACCAGAUCAUUAGUGCACCUAAAAGGCCCAAGUAUCUAAGUCCUCCUACGACCAGAGGGAACGGGUGUCGAACAGGACACCAGAAGGCGAACAUCUCCUGCAGUGAUUCUGUGUCUCCCUGCAUAGAAUGAGGGGAUAUAAGGCCCAGGCCAAGGCUGGUGUUCUGUUGGUGAGAGGGAGAACCUGGAAAUUAAGCCAAAGGACAUGGAUGGCAGAGUUCAGAAGCUGAGGUCUGGGGUAGGGGUGGCCUAGGGACCCUUGCCAAGUUAUUAUCCUAAUUAAGGAGAUGGAUUCUUCUCAACACUAAAGUUAAGAACCCUCAUUGAAACCUAUUGCUAAUCUCUCUGCUCCAAGUACUUCUAAAAUGGGUUUCAAAGGUCAUUGGACGUUAACCUUGGAAUCCUGAAAAGGGUUCAGGGUACUGUGGAAAGGACUGGGGCCAGGAGUUUCAAGGUCUGGGUCUGGGUCCCAGCAUUGCCUCUUCCUGUUUUGUGAGCUUUGGUAAGUUAUUGCACCUCUGCACUUAUGGUAGACUGGUUGGCAAAAAUGUCCACAAAUUCUUCUUUUCUCUAAAGAUCCACGCCUCAGGUAGUUGCUUCCACACUCUUUGAGCUUCUUUUUUCUUUUUUUUUUUUUUGAGACAGAGUUUCACUCUUCCCUCUUGUUGCCCAGGCUGAAGGGCAAUGGCGCGAUCUCGGCUCACUGCAACCUCUGCCUUCUGGGUUCAGGCGAUUCUCCUGCCUCAGCCUCCAGAGUAGCUGGGAUUACAGGUGCCCACCACCACCACACCUGGCUAAUUUUUUAUAUUUUUAGUAGAGACGGGGUUUUACUAUGUUGGCCAGGCUGGUCUUGAAUUCCUGACCUCAGGUGAUCCACCCAACUCAGCCUCUCAAAGUGCUGGGAUUACGGGCAUGAGCCACUGUGCCUGGCCUUCUUUGAGCUUCUUACUGCGGCCAAAGGGACAACAGUUAACAGAGACUUGAAAAGCACUUGUGCCUUAGGAUUGCCUAUUUUUUUUUGCUCUUU